UACGUGGGGGGCAAGCGUUGUUCGGAAUUACUGGGCGUAAAGGGCUCGUAGGCGGCCAACUAAGUCAGACGUGAAAUCCCUCGGCUUAACCGGGGAACUGCAUCUGAUACUGGAUGGCUUGAGUUCGGGAGAGGGAUGCGGAAUUCCAGGUGUAGCGGUGAAAUGCGUAGAUAUCUGGAGGAACACCGGUGGCGAAGGCGGCAUCCUGGACCGAAACUGACGCUGAGACGCGAAAGCGUGGGGAGCGAACAGG
rnacentral:rRNA from 1 species